GACGAACCGCGCGAACGUUGUUCGGAUUCACUGGGCUUAAAGGGCGCGUAGGCGGACGGUCAAGUCGGGGGUGAAAUCUUUCAGCUUAACUGGAAACGUGCCUCCGAUACUGGCCGUCUCGAGGGAGGCAGGGGCAUGCGGAACUUCCGGUGGAGCGGUGAAAUGCGUAGAUAUCGGAAGGAACGCCGGUGGCGAAAGCGGCGUGCUGGACCUCUUCUGACGCUGAGGCGCGAAAGCUAGGGGAGCGAACGGG
rnacentral:rRNA from 1 species